CGCGGCCUAUCAGCUUGUUGGUGAGGUAGUGGCUCACCAAGGCGACGACGGGUAGCCGGCCUGAGAGGGCGACCGGCCACACUGGGACUGAGACACGGCCCAGACUCCUACGGGAGGCAGCAGUGGGGAAUAUUGCACAAUGGGCGCAAGCCUGAUGCAGCGACGCCGCGUGGGGGAUGAAGGCCUUCGGGUUGUAAACUCCUUUCAGCAGGGAAGAAGCGAAAGUGACGGUACCUGCAGAAGAAGCGCCGGCUAACUACGUGCCAGCAGCCGCGGUAAUACGUAGGGCGCAAGCGUUGUCCGGAUUUAUUGGGCGUAAAGAGCUCGUAGGUGGUUUGUCGCGUCUGCUGUGAAAACCCGAGGCUCAACCUCGGGCCUGCAGUGGGUACGGGCAGACUAGAGUGCGGUAGGGGAGACUGGAAUUCCUGGUGUAGCGGUGGAAUGCGCAGAUAUCAGGAGGAACACCAAUGGCGAAGGCAGGUCUCUGGGCCGCAACUGACACUGAGGAGCGAAAGCAUGGGGAGCGAACAGGAUUAGAUACCCUGGUAGUCCAUGCCGUAAACGUUGGGCACUAGGUGUGGGGCUCAUUCCACGAGUUCCGUGCCGCAGCUAACGCAUUAAGUGCCCCGCCUGGGGAGUACGG
rnacentral:rRNA from 1 species